AAGUCGUAACAAGGUUUCCGUAGGUGAACCUGCGGAAGGAUCAUUAUUGAAUAAACUUGGUUGGGUUGUUGCUGGCUCUUAGGAGCAUGUGCACACUCACUCCAUUUUUAACCACCUGUGCACCUUGUGUAGAUCUGGACAACUCUCGGGGAAACUCGGUCAGAGAAUUGCUGUGCGUAAAAGCCAGCUUUUCUUGAGUUCAGAUCUAUGUCUCUAUAUAUACUCCAUAAGAAUGUAUUAGAAUGUAAUUGAUAGGCGUUACUGCCUUUAAAAUCAAAUACAACUUUCAACAACGGAUCUCUUGGCUCUC
rnacentral:misc_RNA from 1 species